rnacentral:rRNA from 1 species
AUUGAACGCUGGCGGAAUGCUUUACACAUGCAAGUCGAACGGCAGCACGGGAGCUUGCUCCUGGUGGCGAGUGGCGAACGGGUGAGUAACGCGUCGGAACGUACCGAGUAAUGGGGGAUAACGCAGCGAAAGCUGUGCUAAUACCGCAUACGCCCUGAGGGGGAAAGUGGGGGAGUCGCAAGACCUCACGUUAUUCGAGCGGCCGACGUCUGAUUAGCUUGUUGGUGAGGUAAUGGCUCACCAAGGCGACGAUCAGUAGCGGGUCUGAGAGGAUGAUCCGUCACACUGGAACUGAGACACGGCCCAGACUCCUACGGGAGGCAGCAGUGGGGGAAUUUUGGACAAUGGGCGCAAGCCUGAUCCAGCCAUGCCGCGUGCGGGACGAAGGCCU